CCACACUGGAACUGAGACACGGACCAGACUCCUACGGGAGGCAGCAGUGAGGAAUAUUGGUCAAUGGACGAAAGUCUGAACCAGCCAUGCCGCGUGCAGGAAGACGGUCCUCUGGAUUGUAAACUGCUUUUGUUAGGGAAGAAACCCUCGGAUGCGUCCGGGGCUGACGGUACCUAAAAGAAUAAGGAUCGGCUAACUCCGUGGCCAGCAGCCGCGGUAAUACGGAGGAUCCAAGCGUUAUCCGGGAUUUAUUGGGUUUAAAGGGUGCGUAGGCGGCGUUGUAAGUCAGUGGUGAAAGUUUGCAGCUUAACUGUAAAAUUGCCAUUGAUACUGCAGUGCUUGAGUACAGAUGAGGUGGGCGGAAUGUGUCAUGUAGCGGUGAAAUGCAUAGAUAUGACACAGAACACCGAUUGCGAAGGCAGCUCACUAAACUGUAACUGACGCUGAGGCACGAAAGCGUGGGGAUCAAACAGGAUUAGAUACCCUGGUAGUCCACGCCCUAAACGAUGAUUACUCGAUGUUAGCGAUAUACAGUUAGCGUCAAAGCGAAAGCGUUAAGCAAUCCACCUGGGGAGUACGCCGGCAACGGUGAAACUCAAAGGAAUUGACGGGGGCCCGCACAAGCGGAGGAGCAUGUGGUUUAAUUCGAUGAUACGCGAGGAACCUUACCCGGGCUUGAAAGUUAGUGAAUGAUACAGAAAUGUAUCAGUCCGCAAGGACACGAAACUAGGUGCUGCAUGGCUGUCGUCAGCUCGUGCCGUGAGGUGUUGGGUUAAGUCCCGCAACGAGCGCAACCCCUAUGUUUAGUUGCCAGCACAUAAUGGUGGGGACUCUAAACAGACUGCCUACGCAAGUAGAGAGGAAGGAGGGGACGACGUCAAGUCAUCAUGGCCCUUACGUCCGGGGCUACACACGUGCUACAAUGGUCGGUACAGAGGGCAGCAAGCUAGCAAUAGUAAGCAAAUCUCAAAAAGCCGAUCACAGUUCGGAUUGGGGUCUGCAACUCGACCCCAUGAAGUUGGAUUCGCUAGUAAUCGCAUAUCAGCAAUGAUGCGGUGAAUACGUUCCCGGGCCUUGUACACACCGCCCGUCAAGCCAUGAAAGCUGGGGGAACCUGAAGUCUGUCACCGUAAGGAGCGGCCUAGGGUAAAACCGGUAAUUGGGGCUAAGUCGUAACAAGGUAGCC
rnacentral:rRNA from 1 species